rnacentral:tRNA from 1 species
AAGAGAUUAGUUAAAAUAUAACAUUAAUAUGUCAUAUUAAAAUUAUUAUAAACGUAAUAUUUCUUU